rnacentral:lncRNA from 1 species
GCGCGAGGUCUUCCGGUGUUCAAAAACCGUUUGCACAGGUGUGGAGUUUAUGAGAAACACAAAUUAAACACGGACUGAGGAGAGUGAGGAGCUUCAGGGCUUAAAUUCUGCAUUAAAAGCUGCAGAAAGUGAAAAAGCCCUUCAUCAACAAAUGCUGUCAUCAGGACUGACCACAGAGUUGCAGAGCCUGGACCUUCUUCACUCCCACAUGAGACAACGUGAACUGCCUUGAACACAUCCACAAGAGACUUGGGAUGACAGAAGCGACUUCUCACUGCUAGAGUGAAGGUAGGGUAAGACUCUGGAAUCAUUACAGUUCUUUUGUUAGAGUGUUAUAAACCAUUUGAAAAACACUGCUUUUCUCUUUUAAAACAUUUUGUAACUAUUUUUUUAUAAGCCCCCCCCAUAAAAUCAGCAUGAUUCAUUCUAAGACAAAGUACCAGAAUAACAGCUGUAAAUCACCUUGUUAACCUUCAUUAGAGCAUUUUUUACAUAAAGUCAGUUAAUUAAAUGAAUGCUUUGCUAGAGCUGCCCCUGUCAACGGUAAGUGACAAUAGAGUUCACUAGCAAGGCACAUUAUUGAGAAUGCUGCAAAAAUAUGAUACUAUUUCAAGUAAAAAAGCUAAAACUCACAGUGUAGGAAACAAUGGUUGAAGAAUAUAAACAAAGCA